AUUGAACGCUGGCGGCAGGCCUAACACAUGCAAGUCGAACGGUAGCACAGAGAGCUUGCUCUUGGGUGACGAGUGGCGGACGGGUGAGUAAUGUCUGGGAAACUGCCCGAUGGAGGGGGAUAACUACUGGAAACGGUAGCUAAUACCGCAUAACGUCUUCGGACCAAAGUGGGGGACCUUCGGGCCUCACACCAUCGGAUGUGCCCAGAUGGGAUUAGCUAGUAGGUGGGGCAAUGGCUCACCUAGGCGACGAUCCCUAGCUGGUCUGAGAGGAUGACCAGCCACACUGGAACUGAGACACGGUCCAGACUCCUACGGGAGGCAGCAGUGGGGAAUAUUGCACAAUGGGCGCAAGCCUGAUGCAGCCAUGCCGCGUGUAUGAAGAAGGCCUUCGGGUUGUAAAGUACUUUCAGCGGGGAGGAAGGCGGUAAGGUUAAUAACCUUGCCGAUUGACGUUACCCGCAGAAGAAGCACCGGCUAACUCCGUGCCAGCAGCCGCGGUAAUAC
rnacentral:rRNA from 1 species